AGCUCUUCUUACCAGCCUUCGUACAAAGCAUUAAAAUGAAAAUAUUUAAGCCGAAUUUGUCCAGGAGGUUUCACUGAGUAUGUAGAGUAUCCUGCUCACAGACUUGCUGUGUGGUGUUUAUUCCCUGGCACUUCUCUGGCAGGUUUCUCUGAACCUUAACAUCUAGAACCCAUGACCUGAAGUGCUGAGAGCUCUCCCCCUUCACCUGUAGGUAAACCGUUUGAUUUCUGCUCCCAUUGUCUUCCCAUAAAAGGGAGUUUGGGAGGGUGAUUUCCCAGGAAAUUUCUAGUGGUUUUAAGAUCAAAAACUAGUUUUGAUGCCGUAUCUCGUUUCUUCCAGCUGUUUUGAGUUCUGUUUUUGGAUUGCUGCUGCUGCUGCUAAGUCACUUCAGUCAUGUCCGACUCUGUGCAACCCCAUAGACGUCAGCCCACCAGGCUCCCCCAUCCUUGGGAUUCUCCAGAGUGAAGACGGUGUGCAGAGUGAAGGUACAGGCAGAAACGCUUCACAGUUCGUGUAUUCCAAGAACAGAGAUGCUCCGCCAGCUCACUCUUCAACCUUGUUCCCAGCAGGAGACCCAGGUUCGAUCCUUCGGUCGGGAAGAUAUCCUGGAGAAGGAAAUGGCAACCCAUUCCAGUAUUCUUGCUUGGAGAAUCUCAUGGACAGAGGUACCUGGCAGACUACAGACCACAGGAUUGCAAGAGUCGGACACGACUUAGUGAUUAAACCACCACCUUCACAAGUUGUGUAUAUUCUUAUUUAUUAUUGGCUUGACAUAUUUCAAGCAGUUCUAUGAUAUUGCUUUCAUCAACUUCAUGAAAUCCUGCACCUUUUGCAAUAUUUACAAUUUCUUUUCACUUUUACUGUCCUUGAAUUUAUUAUCUGCUAUAAUGUUGGUAGGAUGGAAACUAAUGUCUUGAAAGAAUGAGACUUUGGUUAGACAUUAAUUUUAUAAGUAGUCAGUUUAUUAAUGAAUAAUUUUUAUUUAAGAAGUUUUGCUUCUUUUAAACAACCCAGACAUUGGAUUCUCAUAUAAUGAGAUGCACUCCGGUACCACUCAAUUUAUAACUGAACAGGC
ensembl:lncRNA